UUAAUAUUCAGCUCUGUAAGUUCCUGUGCUGUCUACUUUUAUGUCAACUGAACACAAGCUUCUGAGAGGAGGAGUCUCAACUGAGAAAAUAAAUGCCUCUAUAAGAUCAGGCUGCAGACCGAGGGCCGGACCCCCGGCCAGGGACUGCUGCAAGCGCUCCUUCACAGCUACCAGCUUGAGCUCCAGGUCGAUCCUCUGCUCUUCUUUGGCACGGCAUUGAGCUUCCAGAGUGGUCACGGCCUCUUCCAAGGCCUUCGACUUUGAUCCUGAGUCCAGAGACAUGGAUGAGAAAGUCUGUGGGGCUAUAGCCCCCCCCCCCCCGCCCCUUGCUGGAGUAUCCAGAAGGACUGGGUGAAGGCUUGUACUGCAGCCACUAUGUCACCACAAAGAGAAAGAGAAUGAAGUCACAUUUUUCUGUA
rnacentral:lncRNA from 1 species